AAUACAACAUGCUAUAAAUCCUUCCAAAGUUUAGAAGAACGUAAUUCUGCUCUUGUUACUCUAAUUCUUGAAGAUACGGUUUGUGGUGGGAGAAUCGUAGAAGAAAACAAUGGAAUCAACUUCGAAGAAGGUAACUUUGAGCAGCUCCGACGGGUGGACUUUCGAGGUGGAGGAAGCGGUUGCAUUCCAGUCUCAAACGAUCAAACACUUGUAUGAAACAGGUUACACCGACGACUUCAUCCCUGUCCCUAACGUCACCGGUGACAUCUUAUCCAUGGUUCUCUGAUACUGCAAGAAGCACAUAGAUUCGGAUACCACCGCUGGCAAGGAAAGCUUCUAUGAUAACAAACUCAAGCACUGGGAUGCUUUUUUUGUCAAGGUUGACCAAAGCAUCCUCUUCGACCUCAUCUUGGUGGCCGACUUUAUGAAUAUAAUUAGCUUGAUGGACUUGACAUGCAAAACUGUUGCCAACAUGAUGAAGGGGAAGACAACUAAGGAGAUUCGUGGUACCUUCAACAUCAAGAAAGAUUACACCCCCGAGGCAGAAGAGAUGGUUAGGAGGGAGAUUCGAAUGAUUCAUAUCCAUACCCAUUCAACACAAAAUUCACUGUUUGAUAUGUAUAGCUUAGGAAGGAAUGUCGAUAUUAUCAAAGGCUUGAUUGGGCUACGAUGAAAGUUUGGAAAAUUUGGAACCCUGCCCCCUUUUGUUGAUAUUUUUGCUUUACAACCUGUUUCUUGAGGAUUUGAUAUGAAUGCCCCUUUUCCAAAAAAAAAAGAAUGUCGCCUGGUAGUGCAUUGACCAAGUUUUUUUAGCUCUUUAGGGGGGAGGUGAUAUUGAGCGACCAGGGGUUGUCCAGGGCAUUGCCCACGCCCAUAGCAUGCCCGGACGUCGGUGCCCCACCACCGCAGGUUAGGUUCCCGGCGGUGCUCCGGUUAUCCAUCUCGGUGGUGCUCCGGUGAACCGUCCAGUGGUGCUUCAACGAACCAUUCCAGCAGCAUAGGCCCUUGGUCGUGCAGGAGUCUCGAGCACCAUCGGCACCUUGGUGCUAAGAUGUACGGGAGCCUCGAACACCAUCGGCAACCUAGGCCCUUGGUCGUGCGAGAGCCUCGGGCACUAUUGGCACCUAGGCGCUCGGAUGUACUGGAGCCUCGGACACCAUCGGUAAACUAGGCCCAUGGUCGUACAGGAGCCUCGGGCACCAUAGGCACCUGGGCGCUUGGAUGUGCGGGAGCGUCGGACACCAUCGGCAAACUAGGCCCUUGGUCUUGCGAGAGCCUCGGGCACCAUCAGCUACCUGGGCCCUUGGUCGUGCGGGAGCCUCGAGCACCAUCGACACCUUGGUGCUUGGAUGUGCGGGAACCUCAGACAGUAUCAGCAACCUAGGCCCUUGGUCGUGCAAUAGCCUCGGGCACCAUCGGCACCUGGGCACUCGGAUGUACGGGAGCGUUGGACACCAUCAGCAAACUAGGUCCUUGGUCGUGCGGGAGCCUCGGGCACCAUUGGCACCUCGGUGCUAUGAUGUGCGGGAGCCUCGGACAAUGUCGACAUCCUAGGCCCUUGGUCGUGCGGGAGCCUCGAGCACCAUCAACACCUUGGUGCUUGGAUGUACGGGAGCCUCAGACAAUGUUGGCAUCCUAGGCCCUUGGUCGGCAAGAGCCUCGGGUACCAUCGGCACCUAGGGGCUCGGAUGUGCGAGAGGCUCGGACACCAUCGACAAACUAAGCCCUUGGUCCCGCGGGAGCCUCGGGCACCAUCGGUACCUCGGUGCUCAGAUGUGCAGGAACCUCGGGCAACAUCGGCAGAAUAGGCCCUUCGUCGUGCGAGAGCCUCAGGCACCAUCGGCACCUUGGUGGCUUGGAUGUGCGGGAGCCUUGAGCAGCAUGGGCACCUUGGUGGCUCAGACGUGCGGGAGCCUCGGACACCAUUGGCAACCUUAGUGCUUGGAUGUGCCGGAGCCUCGAGCACCAUUGGCACCUUGGUGCCUGGGAUGUGCGGGCUAAAGAAAAGUUUCCCCGUUUCAAAAAGUCGAAUGUUUCCUGAUAGCACAUUGACGAAGUUUUUUUAGCUCUUUAAGGGGUAGAGAUCCACUGGGCCAGGUCGUGCCCCUCUCCAAGCCGAGGUGGGGUGCGUUUAGCCCUCCAUGUGGGUCGGGUCGUCCUGCAAUGACUCAUCAACGAUGGUUAGUCAGUAGCAGGCGGUAGUGGACAGCGUAAUGAUUUUCUGGCUGGCCAAGCCCAUGCCCAUAGAAAUGUAGCCAACGACUCCAGGACCAAGUUCCCUAUAUCGGGCAAAGAUCUCUUCGGGUGGCUUAUGCAUUGCUAUGGGCUCGAGCUUGGCUUUCCCGUCUGCCCCUGUCACGUUUAGGGAUGCCUUGUGCAUCCCAAGUCGGUGUCCACAAGGCGCCUUGGUCUUGCCAAGCCCUUGCCCGCAUUCGAAGCUGCCUGUGACCCUAAUACCAAGUCCCUUUGAGGACAACGGCUCACUAGGGGGUGUAAGUUC
rnacentral:lncRNA from 1 species